rnacentral:tmRNA from 1 species
GGGGGUGACCGGCUUUGACGGUCUGUACCUUGAAAUGCGUGCGACGCAGUGCACUCCCGCUCACCACUGUAAACUGGCGGGAAACAAACUUGCCAAGAACACUCUUGCAAGCGCGAAGCAGUCGCCUUACUUCGGUAAGGUCGGCGAUAUCGCGUUCGCCUACGCGACGGCUCGCGGCUAACGCCCGUUCAUCCUCCCGGGUUUUCGCAGCCGGAGGCAUGGGCGGAAUUAUCUGCGGAAUCGGUCCUUCGUUCUCCCGAACUGAGGAUCUAAACAAGGGAUCGGGCAGGAAUGGUUUCGCCGGCGUUCCUCGCAUCCUGCCUUAGACACGAACGUUGGCUAUGCGUCGUAGAAGCGCUUUCAUAGACGGAUUCGGACCGGGGUCCAAUUCCCCGCACCUCCACAA